rnacentral:tRNA from 12 species
GGACGCGUAGCUCAGCUGGAUAGAGUACUCGGCUACGAACCGAGCGGUCGGAGGUUCGAAUCCUCCCGCGUCCGCCA